CAGGCUCCUGCGGUGGCUGGGCUCGCAGAGCAUCUCUGGGGAUGCAGCGCCAGGCUUCCCAGAAAGCUCGCUAUCGCUUUCUAUUUCAGACCACAUCAGCUGAUGAACCAGGACCAGCCCAGGCACCCUGAGGGAGAGGAAGAGACCAGGAGGGAGGCUGGCUCCGACCCUGGCACCACAUAGCACCGCUGCGGAGUAAAACCAGGAUUUAUAGGUCUCGUUGCCUGUCGGUGAGGCUGUGAAGGCUCUGGAGGAGCUGCUCUUCCUGCGGGGAGCAAAGGAGAGAUGCGCUCUGAGCCUGCAGUGGCCGGAUCGGCAGGGAAAAGCACAUUUCUCUGGCACUCCCACUAGCAGCCCAGGUCCCAGGUGAGGGCACAUCCAGCCUCUCCUCCCCAGCCUCCUGCCCUGAUGUGGGGACAUCUCCUAGGGACACAGCCCGUGGGGCUCCAGCUGGGGUGGGCACGGGGUGUGUGGGUCUGCCGUGGCCUCGUGUCCUGCUCCACGACCCCAGGACAUGAAGGACGGCUCCAGGCUCUCCGUCUGCAGAUCCCAGUAACCUCAGCCCUGCGAGGACACCUUUGGUGUUGAGGGUGAGGGUUCCUUGGCCUGGGCUGGGGCAGGGACAUAUUUCCUAACCCCCCCUCAGCCUGCAAAGCACUGGCCAAACGCCCACGGGCAGCUCGUGGGAUCGCCCUGCCCUGCCUUCCCUCCGACCGGUUCCCUGAUAACCCUGCCCACAGCAGCUCCCAGCCAGCCACUAACCAUUCCUCCUCCUCCUCCUGCAGCCUCCCAGCCUUGGCACACACCGACACCCCCUCCAAAACCCCGCUUGGCGCUGCACCGGCAGCCACAACACCGACAAAGCCCCAGCACCCCGGCUCCCCUCCUGCAGCUGAAGGGGAACCGGGGCUAAAUGCUGGCAGAAAAAUAAAUUCCCCCAUUUUGCAGGGGGGACAUGGGGGGGCAGCCAGCAGCCCCCUGGCAAUGCCCACCCGGAGCCGUGCCGCAGCCCGCGGGCACGGGGCGAUGGCACGUCCCGCUCCCGGCGGCAGGGCUCGCGCGGCCCCCGCAGCUCUCCCAUCUAUACAAAUUCGUUAAUAAAAGAUCAGUUUGCAGACGCAGCUUGCUGUAGAUGACAGCAUUAGAGGCGCAUCUGCUUCUGCUAAGCACCAGUCUCGUGCUGGGUUUAUUCGGUCCAUUUGCGGCAGGGAAGAGUUGCUUUCGGCAUUCAGAGCUGUCUCGUGUCUGGGAGAGGUGGGGGGGGGGGGGGAGAGAUGUAUUUUCGGCUCUAUUUAGCCACAAAAAUUUGGUUUCGGAAUAAAGAAAAAUAAUUCCUGUUUGCUGCCAAACCGAGGCAGGCGAUCUCUGUGCAAGCCUCCAUUUGUCUGAGCACUCGGUGUCCUGGUGGAAAAAUAAAGGUUCUGAUGGGAAAAG